GACGAACGCUGGCGGCGUGCUUAACACAUGCCAGUCGAACGGAAAGGCCCUGCUUUUGUGGGGUGCUCGAGUGGCGAACGGGUGAGUAACACGUGAGUAACCUGCCCUUGACUUUGGGAUAACUUCAGGAAACUGGGGCUAAUACCGGAUAGGAGCUCCUGCUGCAUGGUGGGGGUUGGAAAGUUUCGGCGGUUGGGGAUGGACUCGCGGCUUAUCAGCUUGUUGGUGGGGUAGUGGCUUUCCAAGGCUUUGACGGGUAGCCGGCCUGAGAGGGUGACCGGCCACAUUGGGACUGAGAUACGGCCCAGACUCCUACGGGAGGCAGCAGUGGGGAAUAUUGCACAAUGGGCGGAAGCCUGAUGCAGCAACGCCGCGUGCGGGAUGACGGCCUUCGGGUUGUAAACCGCUUUCGCCUGUGACGAAGCGUGAGUGACGGUAAUGGGUAAAGAAGCACCGGCUAACUACGUG
rnacentral:rRNA from 1 species